rnacentral:rRNA from 1 species
CCUACGGGAGGCAGCAGUGGGGAAUUUUGGACAAUGGGCGAAAGCCUGAUCCAGCCAUGCCGCGUGCAGGAUGAAGGCCUUCGGGUUGUAAACUGCUUUUGUACGGAACGAAAAGGUCUUUUCUAAUAAAGAAGGCUCAUGACGGUACCGUAAGAAUAAGCACCGGCUAACUACGUGCCAGCAGCCGCGGUAAUACGUAGGGUGCGAGCGUUAAUCGGAAUUACUGGGCGUAAAGCGUGCGCAGGCGGUUAUAUAAGACAGUUGUGAAAUCCCCGGGCUCAACCUGGGAACUGCAUCUGUGACUGUAUAGCUAGAGUACGGUAGAGGGGGAUGGAAUUCCGCGUGUAACAGUGAAAUGCGUAGAUAUGCGGAGGAACACCGAUGGCGAAGGCAAUCCCCUGGACCUGUACUGACGCUCAUGCACGAAAGCGUGGGGAGCAAACAGGAUUAGAUACCCUGGUAGUCCACGCCCUAAACGAUGUCAACUGGUUGUUGGGUCUUCACUGACUCAGUAACGAAGCUAACGCGUGAAGUUGACCGCCUGGGGAGUACGGCCGCAAGGUUGAAACUCAAAGGAUUGACGGCUGGAGAGNGCGAGACGACGACGAGGGAGGAGG